UCAUGCUAUACUGAUGCAUGGAUAAGUACUAAUGGAUUGAUUAGCUUGGGAACUAGUUUUACUCAUUAUCGUCCAAAUCUCUUUCCUAUUGCUACUCCAGUCAUUGCUCCAUAUUGGGAUGACAGUGACUUACGUGUAGGAGGUGAAGUACGUUAUGCUGUUAUAACUCCAGCAACUAAUCUUUCAUUGUGUAAUCAAGUCAAUAAUUACUUAUCUACUUCAACUGGUAGUAGUGCAUCUGUUGAAUGGAUACUGUGGGCCUACUGGUAUGAUGUAUGCCCAUUUCUUAAUUGCAACAAUAUUCAGUCCAAUCAUUUCCAGG